rnacentral:rRNA from 1 species
UACGGGGGGAGCAAGCGUUGUUCGGAUUUACUGGGCGUAAAGAGCGCGCAGGCGGUCGGAUAAGUCGAAUGUGAAAGCCCCCGGCUCAACUGGGGAGGGUCAUUCGAUACUGUUCGACUCGAAGGCAGGAGAGGGAAGUGGAAUUCCCGGUGUAGUGGUGAAAUGCGUAGAGAUCAGGAAGAACAUCGGUGGCGAAGGCGCUCUGCUGGACCAUAACUGACACUCAGGGACGAAAGCUAGGGGAGCGAAUGGG